CCUUUUUACAUUUGUUGGAUGUUUGCAAAUAAAGUUACUACAUUUGCUGACAAGAGAUUACAGGAAGAUGUCGAUGACUAUAUUUGUGAAGAUGUCAACGCAAAAAAAGUCUGAAAAUAUUCCAGUCAAUAAGGGCGACGAGUUCUUGAGGAUAUUCGAAACUCUGGCAGGGAGAGUGGAAAUUGAGUUACAGCAUAUUCGACUCGUGUUUAGCGGGAAAGAAUACAGACAUGAUCAACCAGAGGCAAAAAAAAAGAUAGAGGAAAUUGGCAUUAAAGACCGCUCUACCUUAUUCAUGGUUUCCAGGUUACCAGGAGGACUGUGAUUGAAUAUUGGGCAGUCAUCUUUAUAUGAUUGUCAGAUUCUUUUAAGUGGGCAUGACGUAUGAUAACAAGCUCUAGCAUUUGUACUCAAUGUCUAUGUAAUGCUUCGUUUGUCACAAACGUCAUGCAUUUGAUGUUCAUGUAUUUGUUCGAAAAUAAAAUAAAAUCUACUAUAUACUAUAGACAA